CGCGGCAUGAAGCGGCGGGUGGGGGCCGUCUCCCGGGCGGGCAGGUAGCGAGCGCGCGCCCGCUGCGAGCACCGGCGGCUAUCGGGCGCCUCGGGACCCGCCCGCGUCCGCAGCCGCCGGGGACAGGUGCAUGUGACAGCAUUGCAGUGAUGAGUGGAAUUUUAAAGAGGAAGUUUGAAGAAGUUGGUGGCACCUCACCUUGUUCCUGUGUGUGGGAAUCAGAUGAUGACAUUUCUAGCAGUGAAAGUGCUGACAGUGGAAGUAAUGUCCAUCCAUCUACUUCUAAUCAUUUUACUCGUGCAUGUGACAGCAUUGCAGCGAUGAGUGGAAUUUUAAAGAGGAAGUUUGAAGAAGUUGAUGGCUCCUCACCUUGUUCCUCUGUGCGGGAAUCAGAUGAUGACAUUUCUAGCAGUGAAAGUGCUGACAGUGGUGAUAGUGUCAAUCCAUCAACUUCUAAUCAUUUUACCCCUUCUUCAAUCCUGAAGAGAGAGAAGCGGAAGAGAACAAAAAAUGUGCAUUUUAACUGUGUUACUGUGUAUUAUUUCACGAGAAGGCAAGGCUUCACCAGUGUUCCCAGCCAAGGGGGAAGCACACUGGGAAUGUCUACUCGCCACAACAGUGUACGCCAAUACACGCUUGGAGAGUUUGCAAUGGAGCAGGAGAGGCUUCACCGAGAGAUGUUAAGAGAACAUCUAAGGGAGGAAAAACUCAAUUCUCUAAAAUUAAAGAUGACAAAGAAUGGUACAGUGGAAUCUGAAGAAGCUAAUACGCUGACACUGGAUGACAUUUCUGAUGAUGAUAUUGAUCUAGACAACACCGAAGUAGAUGAGUACUUCUUUCUACAACCUCUGCCGACAAAAAAGCGAAGGGCGUUGCUGCGAGCUUCUGGAGUGAAGAAGAUUGAUGUGGAAGAAAAACAUGAGCUGCGGGCCAUCCGCCUGUCCAGAGAGGAUUGUGGCUGUGACUGCCGUGUGUUCUGCGAUCCAGAAACUUGCACUUGCAGUCUUGCAGGCAUAAAAUGUCAGGUGGAUCGUAUGUCUUUUCCAUGCGGUUGCACUAAAGAAGGGUGUAGCAAUACAGCAGGUAGAAUUGAAUUUAACCCUAUCCGUGUACGGACUCACUUUUUGCACACAAUAAUGAAACUUGAAUUGGAGAAAAAUAGAGAGCAGCAAGUUCCGGCACUAAAUGGCUGCCACAGUGAGAUAAGUGCACACACUAGUUCUAUGAGUCCAGGACCCCAUCCAGUUGAAUAUUCAAUUGCAGAAAAUUUUGAGAUUGAAACCGAACCUCCGGCUGCGGUUAUGCAUUCUCAGUCAGCCGAGGACUUGGACUGCCCAGGGGAAGAGGAGGAAGAGGAAGAUGGGAGUAGCUUUUGUAGUGGAGUUACAGAUUCUAGCACACAGAGUUUAGCCCCUAGUGAAUCAGAUGAUGAUGAAGAGGAAGAGGAAGAUGAGGAGGAAGAUGAUGAGGAAGAAAAAGCAGAUGAUUUUGUAGAAAGCAUGGGCUCCCAUGCUGAUAUGGUGCCUCUUCCUUCUGUCCUUUGCUACUCUGAUGGAACUGCUGUGCAUGAAAACCACUCUAAAAAUGCCUCAUACUAUACUAACUCUUCAAAUCUGUAUUACCAAAUAGAGAACCACGUUGCUGGCACUGCUAACCAGAUUGGUGAGACUUACUCAGAAAGGGAUGCUGUCAAGAACGGUAGUCUUUCUCUGGUGCCUUACAACAUGACUUCAGAACAGUUUGUUGACUACACACGGCAAUCAGAGGAAACUUUUAGCAGCUCUCAUUACCCUUCUGCAAACCCCUCAGUGAUUGUUUGCUGCUCAUCUUCUGAAGGUGACAGCAGUGCUCCAUGUAACAGUUUAUAUGCUGAGCACAGGCCAAGUCACCCUCAAGUGGAAUUUCACUCAUUCUUGAAAGGUCCUUCUCAAGAUGGCUUUGUUUCAGCUUUGAAUGGCGACAGUCAUGUACAAGAGCACCCUGCUGAGAAUUCACUAAACCUCCCAGAAAAGAGCAGACUGCAUGAAGAGUGCAUCAAAUCACCAGUGGUAGAAACGGUACCUGUUUAAUAUUAAAAUUAUCCUAGGACUGACUUCCUGUAUUAAAAUGCACUCGCAUUGGAUUUCCUAGAACCUUACUUUUUUAAGAGGUAGACAACACUUGGACUAUAGUCAAUGUUCCAGACACAUUUUGUUUUCGUAAGCUACACUGGCAGUGGUAUUGCACAAAACUAGUUCAUGUAAAGAUUUAAAUAAAAAUAAUCAAACUGUCUUUUGAUAAAAAUAAAACACAUAAGUAAAAAACACACCCAACAUAUUUCAAAGUAGCCUACCUAUCAAAGUAUGUGAGACCUGCCAAGCUAUCUGAAUCAAAGCUUCGUGUUUUUGAUUGUCGGGCCUGUGCAAGAUUGUUAAAAAUGAUACUUUGAAAUAAUCAUGUUUAGAGUCCUAAUUUUCAACAUAUCUGAAAAGAUGAUGAUCUUGCAUACUAAAAUUAUGGAGAUCUCAACAGUAAAGCAACAUAUUUAAUUGGACUGCUGCUUUUAAACUGUUUGAAGAAGUGAGGGGAAAUAAAGUUCAUCUUAAAAUCUGUACAUGGAAAUAAUUUUAAGAUUCAUGAACUACACAUUUCUUUAAUUUCCUUUCUUUUUUUGAACAAGUUGUAACAUCAAAGAUGCCAAAGGGUAAUAUAAGCUACAAUAAUAUUCAACAGAACUUAACCUAGACCUUAUGUUGUAAUAAUUUAUUCAAAUUAACUGUAUUCUUCUGUAUUUAUAUUUUCGGUAUUUAUUAUGAAUGAUAUGGAAUUUGAUGUAUUUAUUGUGGCUUAUUACUGCAGUGUAUAUAUUACAAAAAUGAGCAUUUUUAAGUCUUAACAUUAGUUUUUUUGUUAAUUAGUGGCACUUGUAUCGGCUGUAUUUUUAUUAUAUAUUGUACAAUAUAUAUUGUCCAUUUGUUUGCAAUGAAGUAAAACAGGUUUCUACGUUACGUCAUGGCUGCCAGUGCAUUGUGCAUCUUAUUUCUACUAUGCAUUCACUAGACACUCCUCUCCCAUCUAACAAGAGCCAGAAUUAGUAGUGCACCUCCUCCUGCAGAGCCUCUAAAGAUGCUCUGGGAAAUUUCAAGCGUUUCUCCCAUUCCUCAUAGUCUGAUAGCUUGAGGAGAAACAGGUUUGGUUUGCUUUUUGCUGUUGGUGUUGUUUUUCUAAUUUAAUCAGCAUAUACAUAUUUAAGAAGUGAACAGAAAUGCCUUGUUAGGUAUAUCCAUUUGCCCUUUAACGAUACUACUGCCUACACUUUUCUUUGGCCAAUGUAAUAAACUACAUUGAUUCAUCUGUA